UGUAUAAUGUUAUACACAUAUAUAUUUUUAUGUAUAUUAUAAUACACAUUUUUAUUUAUAAUUAUCUAAUAUUUCCUACUCUAAAAUCUUGGUUUUUGACAGUAAUUUUGAAAACAAAAAGAGUUUUAUGUUAAAAUAAUUCAAGAACAUAAUAUUGAUGGAGCACUUGUAAUUUAACAUGUAUGUUAAUUUAAAAAUACUUCAUAUUUAUUAUAGCCAAAAUUUUUGGUUUUCAGCAAUUGCCAGAAACUUGCCACCCUGUCUAAUUAUGAAAUUUUUUUAAAGUGCUUAAAAAUAUUUUUUGUUUCCUGAAAAAUGCUUAUUUUUUGUUGAGAAAUUUGGUUAUGCACACUGAUUGAGAAAACAUUAUGAGUGAUGGAUUAGGAAGUGGGUUCGAGCAUUUGAAGAUGGUCAUACAAAUGUGCAGGAUGACGAACAAGGUGGGCGACCUUCAGUCACUACUGACAAUUUAGUGCAGAAUGUUGACCAAACAGUGAGCGAAAAUAAGUGUGCUUUAGGACUAAGUCGUUAUCUGAUGACUUUCCUCAAGUUUGUCAAAGUGCUCUUUAUGAAUUAGUAACUGAAAGAUUAAAUUACCGAAAGCUGCACUCACACUGGGUCCCGAAAAUGUUGCUAAAGGUGAACAAAACCAAAUGUAUGGGAGAGGUAUCAACCUUCCUUGGGCUUUACCACGUAUAAGGUGAUGAUUUUUUUAGCCUAAUCAUUUCAGGCGGUGAAACCUGGGUGACCUACAGUACACCUGAAUCAAAGCAUCAAUGAAUGAAACAGCAGGAUUCAACUUCAUCCUAGAAAGUGAAGUUUAAGCAAACAAUGUCAGCCCAGAAAAUCAUGUGUACCAUGUUUUGGGACAGCAAAGGGGUGUUGCUUGUGUUUUCCUUUCCGUCUAACACAAGUGCGUGUUAAUUCCAUAAAAAAGCCCACCUUGAAGACAAAUUUCUCCCAAUACUUCAUCCAGGAGUUUGCUGGAUUGGGUUCAAAAUUACAAGGCUAUGGAGUUUAACAUUAGUAGUCAUAAACCCCCAAAAAAUGUGUCGGCUGUUCACCUACGGUUAUAAAAUAUCAGUCUGAUAGUAAUGUGUUUGAUGUUCAAAUUCUUCAUUUAUUAAUUGUCAUUUUAGGCAGCAAAUUACGACUUCUACGUUCUACAGGGAAAUCAGUGUUGUCGUGAUUUAGACAGGGUAGAGUUUCCAAUUUUUCAAGCCAGUUCAGAUGUGGCUCGUCCGGGUCCAUCUUCCUCCUCCUCUCCACCCCCUGAUAAUGAUGUUCCAUCUGAGAAGUCAAGGGAAGUCACAAACUCCAACAUACCUGUUGCUAAAUCUGAACUCUCUGAAGGAAACUCUGAGGAAAAUUCUUUGACCAAUGAGAUGGAACAACUGACCACAGAAGAUAAGUCUUCUCAGAGUCAAGAAGAAAGGGAUGAAAUCGUCAUCAGCAUCCAGGAAGAAAGCAGCAUUAGCAAAG